rnacentral:misc_RNA from 1 species
AAAAAAACCCUGAUAUACGGUAUUAUUUGUCGUUUGGUAUCAAACAUUAAUAUUUUCUUUUUUUUUAAGGUGAAAACAAAAACAGAUAUGUUCUGGGAUAUCUGAUGUGGCGAACUCUCAUGGGCUUGCAUCACGAUAUUCAGCUGUCAAUGCAGGUUCCAUACCAUGGCCGAUGUCUUGUUGAUGCCUGAUUUGCUAACAUAAAGCGGCUGUACCACAGGACGGAUGUAGAUAGCCUUUCCGGUCUUGUUGAGGUGGUUAGGAAAAGCGCCAGAUCAAACUCUCCCGUUACCUACAUCAACGACGCUGGAGAACGCAGCUGGGAGUGGUAUGAUUGGAAGUCGUUUACCAGCACGUUCUUCACAAAUGUGAAAGGCAUCCGGAAAAUGCGACAUUUUAGAUUUUCAUCAUUAUCACCGGGAAAACUGUUUGUCAAAAGUCACGCCGAUGACAGUGAACGAGAAAUCACGCUUCUGAAAUCCAGUAUCAGUCCGGAAGAAAUAACAACAGGGUCAGUGAUGCCCGACAUUCUACCUCCCGGCGGGAUGACCUCAGAGAGGCAACGUUACCUGUUCCGUGUUGUUCGCCCUUUUGUACGAGAUCCUUUUAAGGACACUACCUGUCCAGAGGCUGAAGAGUGAUGAAGAUGAUGAUAAAAUGAACGGUUUUAAAUGCAAACAUAAUGUAUUGUUAGGAUUCAUUUAAUGACAUUGAAAGUGUAUUUAUUUUCGUUUUCCAACACGUUUGAAUUUUGUUUUAUUGAAUACUAACAUUUUAAACAUUUGAAAAUGUCAAUUAGUUUAGUGAAAUAUAUUUCUUCAGGAC